rnacentral:rRNA from 1 species
CCUACGGGUGGCAGCAGUGGGGGAUAUUGCACAAUGGGGGAAACCCUGAUGCAGCGACGCCGCGUGGGUGACGAAGCGCCUCGGCGCGUAAAGCUCUGUCAGCAGGGAAGAAAAUGACGGUACCUGAAGAAGACGCACCGGCUAACUACGUGCCAGCAGCCGCGGUAAUACGUAGGGGGCAAGCGUUAUCCGGAUUUACGGGGUGUAAAGGGGGCGCAGACGGUGAUGCAAGCCAGGAGUGAAGGCCCGGGGCCAAACCCCGGGACUGCCGUUGGAACUGCGUGGCUAGAGUGCAGGAGGGGCAGGUGGAAUACCUGGUGUAGCGGUGAAAUGCGUAGAUAUCAGGAGGAACACCGGUGGCGAAGGCGGCCUGCUGGACUGCAACUGACGUUGAGGCCCGAAAGCGUGGGGAGCAAACAGGAUUAGAUACCCCUGUAGUC